rnacentral:rRNA from 1 species
GACGAACGCUGGCGGCGUGCUUAACACAUGCAAGUCGAACGGAAAGGCCCUGCUUUUGUGGGGUGCUCGAGUGGCGAACGGGUGAGUAACACGUGAGUAACCUGCCCUUGACUUUGGGAUAACUUCAGGAAACUGGGGCUAAUACCGGAUAGGAGCUCCCGCUGCAUGGUGGGGGUUGGAAAGUUUCGGCGGUUGGGGAUGGACUCGCGGCUUAUCAGCUUGUUGGUGGGGUAGUGGCUUACCAAGGCUUUGACGGGUAGCCGGCCUGAGAGGGUGACCGGCCACAUUGGGACUAGGAUACGGCCCAGACUCCUACGGGAGGCAGCAGUGGGGAAUAUUGCACAAUGGGCGGAAGCCUGAUGCAGCAACGCCGCGUGCGGGAUGACGGCCUUCGGGUUGUAAACCGCUUUCGCCUGUGACGAAGCGUGAGUGACGGUAAUGGGUAAAGAAGCACCGGCUAACUACGUG